GUUCCAUUAUGUGGACACUUUCUCAAUAAUUCUUUGAACCUUUCCCCUGCUUCAAAUAAAGUCUCCACAUCUAACUAUGUGAAAUUACUAAUUUCCUUCCACAUUUU